rnacentral:rRNA from 1 species
GAUACCCUAUUAUUUUAAAUGUAAUUAUAUUAGCUAAAAUUAUUAAUAGUUAUGUUCUUUAAAAUUAAAAAUUUUGGCGGUAUUUUAGUCUUUUCAGAGGAACCUGUUUCUUGAUUGAUAAUCCACGAUUAAUUUUACUUUAACUUUAAAUUUAUAUAUCGUCGUUUAUAAAGAUUUUAUUAGGAUUUAAAUUUUUAAUAUUUUUUAUUAAACAUUAAUUCAGAUCAAGGUGUAGUUUAUGUUGAAGUUGAAAUGGGUUACAUUAAAUUUAUUUAUGGUUUUAUAAUUGUAAAUUUUAAAUAAAUUGGAUUUGAAAGUAAUAAUUAUAUUUUUAUAUUAUGAUUAAGCUCUAAAAUAUGCACACAUCGCC